rnacentral:hammerhead_ribozyme from 1 species
AUUCAGUGGACGAAUCGAAAAAUAAGACGAAACGCUCGUCCUGGAU